GGGUGUUUUUUUUGUUGUUGUCCUGCAGGUGACAAGUACGAGCUCCACGCGGCCACCGCCACCACCCCCAGCGUGGUCGUGCACGUGUGCGAGAGCGACCGGGAGAGCGACGGCGGCGACGAGGAACCCAAAAAGCCCAAACCCAAAAUCAUCCAGACCAGGAGACCCGAUUACACCCCCGCCCAUCUCAGCUGAGCUGCUGCUGCUGCUGGGUUUGGGUUUGGUUUUUUGGGGUUUUUUUUCCCAGUAGGAAACUUCCCAGGGAAAAAAAAAAAACCACCCCGUUGGGUUUGGCGGCGGCGCUCGAGAAAUUCCCCGUCUGAGAGAAAAAAUAAAGGAAGUUUCAUCCCGAUUUUUUUUGAGGCUGCAAGUUGAUCCCUGGGUGUAUUCCCAAAAUCGCUGGGAGAAGAUGAUAUUUGCAGACAAACCAAGACAAAAAUAGGGUUUCUUUUUGGGGGGUGAAGGAGCUUUUCCUUGCCUGACUCUUAAAUCCUCCGGUUGGAUGGAAAAACCUCGGGAUAACAGAGAAGGUUUUAAGGAUUAAAGUCCUUAAAACUCAAAAAAAAAAGUACUUUUUCUCCUCCUGCAUUUUGUGCAUGUGUAUUCUUGGUCUUCUAAAGUAACUUUUGAGUUAUUUUCUAGAGUUUCUCACGAGCUGGAAAUCGGGGAGGUUUAAGGUAUUUAUUAUCCCAGAUUUCCCUCUAGAUGUGUAAAUACAUAUAUUUAUAUUUGUUUUUUAUUGGCACUGCUUUUCCAGCAGGCACAAAAUCCCUUCAGCCCCCCUGAUUUAGGUGCUGUGGGGACCAGUGCUUUUAAAAAUGUUCACCUUUGAAAUGCCUCCAGUGGGGUUUUAUCUGGCAAAGCAAUGGGAAAAAAAAAAAGGUGCAACGGGAGACUUGCUGAAAUGAAUGGAUUUUAAAUUAUUUAAGUUCUGAUAAUUUAUAUCUUCAAUGACAUUUGGUAGCUUUGACUUGGGGAGGGGGGGUGGGAAAGGACUUUUAAGGGUAUAAAUAAGGCUAAUGGUGCAUAUUCAGAAUUUUUUCAGUGAUGGAGGGACUUGAAUCUGCGUUUUUUUGUGAGAAAAGGUUGAAUGGUGAUUGUAAAAUUACAGGGAGGAGAGAUGGUGCCUUUGCCUUGUCCAUUCCUACUACAAGCUGCACACUUGGAUCUUUUUCUACUGGCUUUGUACAUCCAGAACUCCCAAACUUUCUUAGCUUUGCCUCCAGACUGAGCUGGUGUGAAAUGCUUUAAUGCCAAGUAAUGCACAUUUAAAUCAUGGCAGUGUGUGGGAGAAGCUUUAGGGGUUUUUUAUAUGUUCCAGACAGUCCUGAUAAUUAAUCCCAAUUCCAAGGCAAAAAAAAAAAACCAAAAAGAUGAGAGAGAAAUGUAUUUUAUUACUUGUUUUUUUAAAACUGGAGAUCCUCACCUUGAAACAGGUAUUUUUUUGGGAAGAGAUAGGAACUGAUUUUUGUGGAAAAUGUCACUUAUGGGUCUUAGGAAGUCUGUUGGAAAGUUUUUAGGAAUCCAAACGUGGUUCCCUCCUGCUCUGCUUUUGCCACAGUUGGUCUGAGAAGGAGUUUGAAGCAAAUAUUGACUUAAACACCCUUGUUUUCUUUCAAUAAUACCUGUUUUAAAACCGAAGAUGUGGAAUGGAGCCAUCCCAAGCUGGGAAACAAGGACUGGUGAAACGGAAACCAGUGACUGGAGAACAGGGAUAUGUGGAAUUUUCUGCUCUGGUUUGGAUCACUGUUCCCUGGAAACUGGAAGAAACCCUGAUCCUUGGUGUUAUUUUGGGGGUACAACAUCCAGCUGGGGCCAUGGCCUGCCUACCAGCCCCCAAAAGAAAGGAAUCAAGCAGGUUUGCCACAACUGCCUUUAAACCUUUCCAAGAUUUUUUUUCCCCACGUUUCUCCAGUUCCUGCUGGACUCAAGUGUCUCAUCCAGUUGAAAAAUGGAAGAAUUCCCGUCCUUUUUCACCCACGGCAAAUCCCAACACGACUUCUCCAUCACAGGGAGCUGCUCUUCUGUUCCCUAAAAAAACCAACUGUGCUGCUUUUUCAACUAAAAACCACCAAAAUCCCUGAUUUUUAACCAUUUCCUACGCCCAGAAAGUGGCCACUGGGAAAGCCUGGAAAUCUUGGGAUGGUGACAGCGUGUUCCUGGUUGUGUCUCCUUGGCUUUUCCUCUUCCUUUUUUCUUUUUAAUGUUCAACUGAAUGCUUGGUUGGUAUUUUCUACAGUUGUAUAGCACGGGGCAUAUUUAAAUUAAAAUAUUUUGGUUGUCUUUCUUGUAA